rnacentral:ncRNA from 1 species
UGUCGAGCAUAGCUUAGCAAACUAUGCAUUUGCCGCCAUGGCCUAACGCUAUAUAGCCGGAGUACAGGAUGACCGACCCGUAAGAGCGUUUAUAAGUCCCUCAG